CUUAGAAGUGGCUUUUCAGAGAAAAAACUAUCACGUAAAUGCUUUUAAAAUGGUCUAUUUUGGAGCCACUGUGGCAUACAUACUGCAGUUUAUCCUAGGAGACAGGAUUGAUGAGCCCCUGUAAGAACUGCAUUGCAUAUUUCAUAAAUGUAAAAAGCAGAGGCAAUUGUGCUAUAUUAAAUUUCAGCCCAUAAUUGGGUAACUAGAGAAGCCCCCAUUUAAUUAAAUUCCGCUAUCCACUGUAUGAUAGGAAAAUUUGGUGACCUUAUGUUUGACUACUGUCUGCGAUUGAAGAGUGGUUAAAGUUGGUAUAAGAAUGUAUUGUGUAUCUUUCAAAUGUCCUUAUUAGAGAAACGGAUUGGGGGUAAUAUUUUACCUUAAUAGUGCUUCUCCAGUGACUCCUUCAGAAUGACAGUGCUCAACUCAAACACCGUGUGUUUUCAUUGGCUAGGAUAAAUGUUUUCCACAGAAAUGACAAGGCUUCAGGCUCUCAAGAAGCUCUCAUCAUGAGAGGUCAAACGAUUUUACACACAAACAAUUCCACAGCACAUUCUGCAUCCUUCUUGCAAUUUUUAAGCUGUGCUAGGCAAACUCCACAUAGGAGCACAUUCCAGAAACACACUGGGGGUUACAUAAAGGGCUAGCUUCUGUUUGGUGGGUAAAUGUGCAUAUGAUUAUUGUUGUUACACAAAAGAAGGGACCAAUAAAGUCCUGAUGUGACUUUCCCAACUACAGAAACCCAAGAAAAUUCUUUGCCAGAAGUAGAUACAUUGUCAUUCUGAUGGCAGAUGACUACCCAAAGAAGGGGAAAGUGAAGGAAAGCUGGAAUCUGGGAACUUGCAAUGGGAUAAAGUUGCUUUGAAGAAAGCACUUAGCAAGUGUUUUUUUUCCAUAUUGCCUUCUUUCCUGCCACAGACCCUAAGAUUCUCUAAUCACCUCUGUUCCGGGGAAAAUAUUUUAAUAUAACCCCUUGAUUCAUUCAACAAGUAUUUAUGGAGAAUCUACUCUGUGCCAGACCCUUCCACCCAACCUCUCAUACCCUAUACAGGAAGAUACUCUGCCAUCAUGUUUGCCAAUGGGACAGGACUCCCAAGGGAAUAGGUAGAAGAGGAACACCAGUAAGUCAAGAGCCACAUAUAAUGAAAGACCAAAGUGUAAAAGGUGGGCAGAGGAGGAAGAAGGAAUCUGGAUAAGCAGGAACAGAAAGAGAAUGCUGUCACCGAGGCUAACAGAGGGAAGAAUUUCAAGGAGUGACUGACAGUGUUAAAUGCAACGCAGAAGUCAGAAAGGAUGAAAAAGUCCUAGUUGAAUUAGCAAUGUAGAGAUCUUUGGUAACCCUUGCCAAAGAGAUUUCAGUGAAGCAGUGGAAAUGAAAGCCAAGUUCCAAUGAGUGGGGGAGUAAAUGUGAGGUAAGGUGGAGAGGCGAUGAGUGUAGUAGUUGAAAGGAGAGACAGCUGGUAGCCUACAAAUGCAGGCGAAAAGUUCUCUCCAUGUGGCUCAUGAGUGAUGAGGCAGCAGGAUCAAACUAGACAUAACUAUCUCCUGCUCUAUCUGCUUUUACCUUUUUAAUCCUAUGAUCUAUGCUAGAAAAUUUUUUAUUUUAUGUUAUUUGUACCACAGGAUUUGAUUUUAUUUUGUCCUGUUAUAUUAACUAAACCAGUUUUUAAAAAUAGGGAAAUAAUGCGUUUCAUUCAAUAUGUACAAUGGACCCUCCCAAUAAAUUAGCAAUAAAUUUACAUAAUUUGUCUCAAACAAUGGAAUUAUGCUACAAUGUUAAAGAAUAUGUCAUAUCAGGUAUAAUGUUUAAAAAUGCCAGUCAGGAACAGAGGAAUGACUUUAGAUAAUUUGAGAUACAACUUUAGAGAAAUUAGUGCCUUUAGACAUCAGUAAUAAGAAUUCAGAGUAAAGACAACAU
rnacentral:lncRNA from 1 species